UGAGAUCCAACUGUAAGGCAUUUUCU
rnacentral:piRNA from 2 species